rnacentral:rRNA from 1 species
AUACGUAGGGUGCAAGCGUUAAUCGGAAUUACUGGGCGUAAAGCGUGCGCAGGCGGUUUUGUAAGACACUGGUGAAAUCCCCGGGCUCAACCUGGGAAAUGACAUUGUGACUGAAAGGCUGGAGUGCGGCAGAGGGGGAUGGAAUUUCGCGUGUAGACGUGAAAUGCUUAGAUAUGCGGAGGAACACCGAUGGCGAAGGCAAGACCCUUGGCAUGGACUGACUCUCAUGCACGAAAGCUUGGGGAGCAAACAGGAUGAGAUUCUCUGGUAGUCCACGCCCUAAACGAUUUCAACUGGUUGUUGGGGAUUUAUUUUCUCAGUAACGAAGCUAACGCGUGAAGUUGACCGCCUGGGGAGUACGGCCGCGAGGUUAAAACUCAAAUGAAGUGGCGGGG